rnacentral:lncRNA from 1 species
AUAUUUUGUUUGAAUUUCUUUUCCUUCCCUUCCUUCCUUCCCUUCCUUCCUUCCUUCCUUUCUUUCUUUCUUUCUUUCUUUCUUUCUUUCUUUCUUUCUUUCUUUCUUUCUUUCUUUUUUUUUUUUGUGAUCAGGUCUCUCUACAUAGCCUUGACUGUCCUGGAAGUCACCAUGCACGGUGACCCAGAACUCUCUUUGUAGACCAUGCUGGUCUAGAACUCAGAAUCCUCCAGCUUCAGCCUCCCACAUAAAGCUGUGUGCCACCACACCUGGCCUUCUUACAGAUUUAUGAAAAACGGAAAAGGUCUUUCAAAAAGGAUACCUUUUAGGGUCACCUUUCAGGGAGGGCUACUGCUGUGUUGUAGCAGGGGCAUGUCUUUUGCCAACAACACACCCUGGCAUCAAGAGUCAUAUUUGAAGGUGCAGUUAUCCCUUCUGCACUCAGGGCUCUGCUAAAUGGAAAGAAAAUGUAAAGAGUUUACAACAUUGAUGUAAUGGUGGUCUCAGUUCUCACUUUUUCCCACUGACUCUUCAAUAUAGAGGGACUCGUUAUAAUGUAUGUGAGUUCAGCUUGGGUCCCUCUGCUAAUAAACUUUCUAUCAGCAGAAAGCAGCAGGCCACACGGAAACACAAGGAUUCGCAUAGCUUGGUUGGGAAGGGACUAAUUUACCUAUUGUGCUGGGUAGGAACAACUCAGUUACUACCAUGCACAGGUAAUAACAGCACCAUUACAGAGGGUGGAACACAAUUUUGUAGUCUUAAAAAAAAAUAGUACAGCUUGAUCCUUCACAAAGAAAUGCCACCUUUUGGUGAAAUCUUGGGGUCUCUUACUAACAAUCUUUCCAUGGACUGAUAGGUCAGGAAUGAAUGCUCACGAGGCUUGUGUAUGCUGAAAAGUUAGGGGGUACAGGAAUGUUUGGGUGGGCGUAUUGCCUAGGUGGAUCACCUUACCUAUUACAGCUGGUAAGCAUGUCCUAAUUUACUUUGGCUGCAACUUAAAGUUACAGUCCCCGGGGAGAGCUGGGAAUAUCCGAAGCUUUCCCCAGUCCCACCUUUUGAAGUUAAUUUUUAUUCAAGUCUGGCUUUAAUGGAAUAUGUGUCAUGGAGUUAUGAAAGGUUUUUUUUUUUUAUUUUUUUAAAGCCCUAUCUCUGAGUUCAGAAAAUUAUAUUUAAUAAUCGCCAAAAACUUCAGAACCAGUUUUAUAGUGGCUCUUUUGAUCAUGAUUUAAUGAAAAGUAUCCAAAAGCUAUCAGUGUGACUCUAAUGAUAGUCACAAAUGAAUGUUUGGGCCUAAUCUGGAGUUUGCUUUUAGAUGUCAUUAUUAAUGUGGAAGGCCUAAAUUAUGGCUGCUCUUGGGCAUUCAGAACUUCUCCUAUGAAAAGAAGGGCCUUGCACAUUGUGUGGAAGAGGGGGAUUCACAGAUGAAUAUAGAGUCUAAAGUGGUGAAAGAGCCUGGCCAUUGUUUGUGCGGAAUGUUGACAAAGGGAGCCAAGGGGCAGUUUUCCCCUUCUGCAGGAGAACACAACAGGGAUGGGAACCAGCCUGGCAUUCAUCUGCCUUGGUCAGGCAUGGAAAUUUGGCCAGCUUCCCUUCCUGAGUUUUUCUUAGAAGGUGGUCUUACUGGACUCCAGGAGAAUACAUGCUUUGGUUCUUAGCAGUCUGCAUUCUUUUUGAGGAAAGAUUACAAGGGCAAAUAGAAGCAGUUUCCGAGAAAAGCAUUAAGAAUGACAACUCCCUCACCCCCCCCCCCCUUUCAAAUGUGAUCUUAGGAGAACACUAUCUAUACAGUGCCAGACACUGAGGCAACUGAAAUCCCAGGAAGGACCUGACUUUGUGUUUAAUUCCUCCCUGUGCUCCGGCUUUGCCUUUAGGGACCGGAUCCUAUACUUGACUAUUUGCUAUAGGGCCUGCCUGUUUGUGGCUCCUGCUGUUAUUUCUGAAAAGGCUUCUUUGAGUCUUCAUUCUCAGAGCCUUUCCUCGCACUUCCACGUGGGACCCAUGAUGGCUCAGGUGACAGGCAUUCCUGGUACCUCGUAAAAAUCUCCAUCCAAACUGGAACCAUGUGGGUAAUUGUCUAUUCCCAGGGCUGCGUCUACCUGGUAUUUAGCAAUGUGCACUCAUAAUUUUGAGGCCCCCUGGCAGUUUCCAUCCACCAAGCUUGGUCCCCUGUGGGUGCUUAGAAGUGCCCGGCUUGAGCUGUAGGCCUAACGUAGAUUUAACAGUUGGCUGCUAGAGUGGACUUAAAUUUCAUAGAAAUUGUGAUAAAAUGGUUGGGUUCUGACUAAUGGGGCAAGCAGUCAUGCUAGUUUUAAAAGGAAUUGUGACUUCUGUCCUAAGUACUAGAACUUUCCUUUCUCAUCCCCCAAGCUGGGUGGUGUUUGGAGGAUGUUAAUCCUAAAUUGCAGGUGACUGGGUUUGUCUAGACCUCAGGUGGCCAGGAAAACCCUGGUGAAGAUGUCUGUGUGGGGGUGAGCUUUUGUAAACUAGAAAAGGAAAUAAUACCUUACCCUAUGUUUGUUUGUUUGUUUGUUUUUUGGUCUAGUCUAAUGUAACAAAGGCUAGACUUGAAUUCCUUCCUUGUUUCUACCUCACAAGUGCAGAGAUUACAGACAUGCAAUGAACCCCUUACCUGGUUUAUGGUGUUGAUUUUUUUUUUUUUUUUCCUUUCUGGAUUCUGGUCAGCAUGUGCUUCUUUCUUCUUGUAUUACAACAUCCUAAUUAUGAUUUACACUGCUUGGCUUAAAGAUUGUUUGCUAGGAGAUAAGAAAGCAGUGGCUCUGGGUAUUACUGGAGCAGCCCAUAGUGAGGCCUGCUCAGAUGAUGUGGAAAAUAGCACCAGGCUUCCUUCUCAGGCCUCAUUGUGGCUCUGCUCCCAUCAUGCCUCUUGUUAUCUCAGGAGGAACAAAAACUUUAUUAUUGAAGUCAUGGAAUCCUAGGAAGUUUGUCUGGAAGGAACUAAGAGACCAAGCUCAUGGCCUAAUGGGAUACUUUGUUUUUCUUGGUCCUAUUAUG